GACGAACGCUGGCGGCGUGCUUAACACAUGCAAGUCGAACGGAAAGGCCCUGCUUGCAGGGUACUCGAGUGGCGAACGGGUGAGUAACACGUGGGUGAUCUGCCCUGCACUUCGGGAUAAGCCUGGGAAACUGGGUCUAAUACCGGAUAGGAGCCAUUUUUAGUGUGAUGGUUGGAAAGUUUUUUCGGUGUAGGAUGAGCUCGCGGCCUAUCAGCUUGUUGGUGGGGUAAUGGCCUACCAAGGCGGCGACGGGUAGCCGGCCUGAGAGGGUGGACGGCCACAUUGGGACUGAGAUACGGCCCAGACUCCUACGGGAGGCAGCAGUGGGGAAUAUUGCACAAUGGGCGCAAGCCUGAUGCAGCGACGCCGCGUGGGGGAUGACGGCCUUCGGGUUGUAAACUCCUUCCGCUAGGGACGAAGCUUUUUAUGACGGUACCUAGAUAAGAAGCACCGGCUAACUACGUG
rnacentral:rRNA from 1 species